GUUAAUUGGAGGCUUGAAGCAUAUUUACAAAUGCUCAUUUUAAUUUGGGUUCGAUGAUGUAAUUUAAUGCCUAAUAAAAUUUGCAAAUAGCUUAUAAAUGAUUAUGCAUUAACUGUUAUCCUAUGAAAAAGAUGAGGGUCUUUUCCAUCCAUUCACUCAGCAAAGAUGUCGAGCAAGCUACAAUGAAAAUGUAAUGCUGUAAAUUUCACUGAAGUUUUAAGAGACAACAUUUAAAAUUUAUCUCAGAUAUACGGACAUCUGCUGCAGUCCAGAACCUGGACUUUUGUGGGAUUUUUUUAAUGUUCAGCAUAUCCUUAGAUGCAUAUUGCAUUUUGUGGCCACCAUGACCUCCAGUCAGUUUCAAACUGUAUUAUAUGGUAAGUGUAGAAGGAUCCUUUGUUUCUAGAUUCUUGAUGACCAGUGCAAGAAAUCAUAUAUUUGGCUAGAUAUUGGUGGAGCUUGAUGUGAUUGAGCAAUUGCUAAUGCUUCUAUGUCAAUAGAGUGGGCUGGAUUUUAGUUCAAAUAUAAAGGAUUGAUCUUAAUACAAUACAAAUAUAAAGCCUAGAUUGAAAACUGGAGAUGAUUCACUUUUCUAUCGAUAUCAAAACCGCCAGCCACUCAUGAUUCAACAAAGCAAGAAAAGUAUUUCUUUUAAAAAUGCAUUUCUUCUUGUGCUUCAUCUGGAAAUGAUAAUUUUUAUUAUGUAGUUUGAUGGGAAUACAGGCCCAUUUAGCAGAUUGAUAGGUCAGUCUGACAAGUGGUUUCUAGGAUUAUUCCCAUAAAGUACAUCUCCCUGAGAUAAAUGGAACUAUAUUUUAAGCAAAUACGUAUAUAAGCUUAGCCUUUUAAAAUGCUGCAAUUAAACAUCUCAUUUCAAAGGUGGCAAUAUUUUUUCUUCUUCUCCCUACAUGAAUUCCUGUUGUUAUUAUUAUUGUUGUUGUGUAAGUUUAAGUCACUUCCAAUGUAUGGCAGUCUUAAGGUGAAACCACCAUGAGGAUUUCUUGGCAAGAUUUGUUCCAGAGGGGGUUUGCUUUUGCCUUCCCUUUAGGUCAGUGGUACUCAACCUGUGGGUCCCCAGAUGUUUUGGUGUACAGCUCCCAGAAAUCCUAGCCAGUUUAUUAGUUGUUAGGAUUUCUGGGAGUUGAAAGCCAACAACAUCUGGAGACUCACAGGUUGAGAAUCACUGUUUUAGGCUGAGAGUGUAACUCACCAAAGGUUAUCUAGUUCUCUUCCAUGGCUGAAUGGGGACUCAAAGAAUGUGCAAUUCCCAGGCAAAAAUUGUAGGAACCCUCCCCCCCCCCCCACUGUGUUAUACUGGAAAUGUAUAACAAAUAUUCUUUCCAUUCUUCUUUACUCCUACCUGCCAAUUUUACAGAAUAUCUCAAAAUCAUCUUUCAGUUUCCAUGAUCCUCUAUCCAUCUUCUACUAUCUACUUCUACUUAACAGUGCCUAAGUACUUAUCUAUUAUGAUUCAUGGUCACUUAAUGUGAAUAGGAUGACAUUUCAUAAAUGAAUCAGGAAUACAUGCCAGUAAUACUUUUAUGUAAUAAAAUCUUUUUUUGUCCUUAAUUUAUGUAAACAGGAGCUGAACUUGAAAUUACACUAAUUUAUUUGCAAACAGAACAAACCUUAGCUUCAAUUUGAUCAUCUGUCACCAGAAAAAGGUCAAAAUUGUAUGUGUGGAGCUUUAUGACAGCAUAGUUUCAAAGCCCUGGUACUAAUACAUAUAAGAAGGCAACUUCUCAGUACAGUAUAUUUCACUGGGCACAAGAGAGGAAGGGAUUUAUACAUACACACAUAGAUAUAAAACUCAGACUUCAGUCUUACUAUGGAAAGAUUAUCUUGAAAGAUGACUGCAUGUAUUCAGUUCAAUGAAGUUAUUCCAGCAACCUCGCUCUUAUGCUUUGCCAACAGAAGCCUACCUAGGGCAUAGUGAUCUUUUACAAUCUAGAGGCUAACUGACCGAAGCGGAAGUCUAAAUUUAUUGCACCUUGCAAAAGUGUAAAAGUCUUUUUCAUGCCUGUCUCAGUUCGUUACCCUUCAGCUGAAUGAAUAAUCGUUUUAAUAAUAUAAUCAGCAUAUUGGUACAUGUGGUUCACUAUUCCCUUCUGUGCAGCCAUAAGGUUACUAAGAACAGACUGCAUUGUUAUCCUUUACGUGUCAUUCCAUUUGGCUACACAUCUACAAGGCACUUUCUAACACAUUAGCACUUGCUUUUUAAUGCAUUGUUUGCAUUGUUGUACUUAUGGCAAUUCAAAGAUAGAUUUUUUUUUUUAGCAGAGCUGGGAAGAUUGUGCAAAUGGUAACAGAUGCAGGCCUAGCUGGUUUACACAGUAGGUAACUAACUACAGGUAAAACUGUGAUUUGAUAUGAGUUUAUUUCAUAAGGCUUCCUUGAAAAUAUUACAUGUCAGCAAUUCAGAAGAUGAUACUUUGUGGAACUCAUUUAAACUUUUCUAGUUAAAUUAGAUCUGGGAAGAACUCUCUUAAGGCUUAUCUGAAAUAUGUAUAACUUAUCAUAUGAAGGAAAUGCAACCCAAGAGCUAUAUAUGUUGGUUGCUGGUACCCAGAUAUAUCUCAUUGUUGAUGCCCGAUUGAGACUAUGAAAUGAUUUGUGUUAUGAGGUGUAUGGGAGGCUAAAACAUGAUGAUUGUGAUCUACCCAGUGCCUUACUGGGGAGUUCAAAAAUGGGUUAAUUAUAAGGGGGUUUUUUCCUUAAAAGGCACAUAUUGGUGUGAUAGGAUACUGGGAUUGAACAAUGCUGCUCAUGUUCCUAUAUUCAUCUGUGAGAUAAAAAUGGCUCAAACUGAAAAAUUUGAAACACUAUUUUAAAAUUCCUGCACAAUAGCUCUAAUACUUGACAUUACUACUUCUCAUGAUUUUAUAAGGAAUUAGUGCUUCGAAGACAUAUAUGAAAAACAAACAAACCCUGGUACCUCAAUUAUCCAGCACUCCAAAGCUCUUUUUGAAAAGCAUAUUAGGUGUUUUGAGAUAUUGUUACUCUUAUCUCCUCCAAAACACCUCUGUGUUAAUAAAAUAAUGUUGUACCACUCAUUGUCACAUGAAAAGUAACAUUCCUACUUACAAUGUAUUGCUUCCAAAUUCUGCAUAUAUGCAAAUUCCUUACAAUGUGUAGUCAUCUGCAAACAUAAUCCUUUCUCUUAAAGUGAUUUUUAAAAUUCUACAUGUAUUGGGUCUAUCAAAAUGGUGUUUAUUUCUGCAUGCCCAGAGUGUAUGUUAUGUUGUGUCUCUAUAUGAGAGACGCACAACACUAUCAAUAUGCCUGAUACUUUAAUAGAAAUUGUAACUAACAGAAAUACUGUUAUUUAUAGAAAAGAUCGACAAAAUGUUCAAAUGAUACCAAUUUACAAAAUGCAGCAGCCUUGGCCAGGUCAGAUUAUAAUGAGGGAUCCUGGGAUUUGUAGUACAACGACAUAUAGAAGGCCACCUCUUGCCCCAUCAUGGUGUAAAUUUUGAUAUGAACACAAGAAUAGUGGAAGGUUAUAUGGUCAGUUCAGUUUAGGCAUAGGUUUCAUAGAGAAUGAAGAGAGCAGACAACAGCUGAAUUUUGUGGAAGGAAAACAGGAUGUGGUUGCAUUAGACAGAUCUUCUGAUAGGAAUUAAAAAACCCAGAGAUUAAUACUACAGCCAGGUGAGCAUCUUGUACAAAAAACCCUCCCCCCCCCCCAAAUGAUGGCAGGUGAGGAUAUGACCUAGCUUAUGAAUCCAUAUGAUUUAAUAACUUCAUGGAUACCCAACUUUGAGUAGUAUUAUUUUAUUUCUAUUCAGUUCAGUCAUGAUAACAAAAUUCCAUAAGGCCUCCAACCUCCAUCAUGGAAAAUACAGCACACUAAAGAACCAACCCUUUAAAAAAUAGAGAUGCAACACAAAAACAGAGAAAAAAGGUGGAAGAAAAUGCAAGUGAAUUCCUUCUGUCCUUUGUUUUAACAAGGGUUACCCACUGCUUUCUCUGUAUCUUCCCACUCAAACUUUUCAUUUCUUUUAUAACCUACUAGCUGUGCCCGGCCACGCGUUGCUGUGGCAAAGUGGUGGUGGUAUUGGUUAAAAAUUGUUGUGUAAUUUUUAUUUGACCUUAUUUGUAUUUUUAAAUUAAUUUUAUUGUAAGUUAUCUUUUUAUUUAUUAUAUUUUAUUAUUUUCUUGUAUAAUUUUUAGUUAUUUUUUGUUAUUAUGGUAUUUUAUUGUAUUAAUUUUUUAGUGUUUUUAAUUAUUUUUAGUGUUUUUUAUUAUUUUUUAUUGGGUUGCUAGGAGACCAAGUUGGAGGAGCUUAGCCUUCUAACUGGCAGUAAUUGGAUAAAAGCAAUUAUUCCUUUCUCUCUAAUUAGGACUUUAUUUUUCUUUUCUUUUUGUUGUAUCAACCUAGAGGCGUGGAUGAUGGGUUGUGUCAUCUAAUUUCGACGUUGGGGGGCCUGUAGUUUUGUUGUUUUGUGGGUCGCUGUGAUGCCAUCACUCUUUUAUAUAUAUAGAUUAUUAUUAUUAUUAACUUUAUUUAUAUCCCACCUUUCCCCCUGUGAAGAUUCAAGGCGGCUAACAAUCCCACACUAAAUAAAUUUAAAAAGUGCAAUACAAAAGUUUAAACAAUAGUAACAGUGUGAUAAAAGCAGAAUUAAAAUACAAUAAAUACGCUUAAAAUGGCUUUUAAAACUCAUAACCCUCCCCCCAACCUCCCCAAAAUCUGGCCCUAUAUUGAUUACAGGGAUCUUUUAACUGAUUCUAUUUUAAUAGAGGUUGUUUCAUCCAAUUUAUAUACAGUAGAGUCUCACUUAUCCAACAUAAACGGGCCGGCAGAAUGUUGGAUAAGCAAAUAUGUUGGAUAAUAAGGAGGGAUCAAGGAAAAGUUUAUUAAACAUCAAAUUAGGUUAUGAUUUUACAAAUUAAGCAACAAAACAUCAUGUUAUACAACAAAUUUGACAGAAAAAGUAGUUCAAUACGUAGUAAUGUUAUGUUGUAAUUACUGUAUUUACAAAUUUAGCACCAAAAUAUCAUGAUGUAUUGAAAACAUUGACUACAAAAAUGCGUUGGAUAAUCCAGAAUGUUGGAUAAGUGAAUGUUGGAUAAGUGAGACUCUACUGUACUUGGUUUAUGUAAUGUUAUUAUUGUUUUCAUGUGGAUGUAUUUUAUUUUAUGUAUUAUGUAUUUUGUGUAUGUCAUCUUCAUUUGCUAUUUUGUAAGCUGUCCUGAGUCCCUAUGGGAAAUGGUGGCAGGGUGUAAAUAAAGUUUUUUAUUAUUAUUCCUCAAAGGCCUGUUUGCAGAAGAAGAUCUUGAUCUGUCUGCAGAAGGCCACCAGGGAUGCCGCUAUCUUCGUCUCUCUUGGAAGGGAGUUCCACAAUAUCAUCAUCUCUUCUCUCUUCUGCUUUCUUCUCUCUCUUUCUUCCACCAUCCAUUGGUCUUCUCCCUUUUUCAUAUUAUCUUCAUUGUUGCCUCCUGCUUAAAUUCAAGACCACAACUUUUCACUGUUUGCCUUGUUGGCCAACCUUCCCUUCUGCUGCCUCCUAAAUGCUAUCUAGUCUUCCAGCUUCUAACAGAAAUGUUUUUUCAGCCCUUUCCUCUGUCCCUUGCAGUCUGUUGUUAACAAUUUCCAAGUCUCCUGACUGAUCUGCAACGUUGUCACUAAUUUGCUCUUGAGCAUCUCUUUUUUCUGACUCCAAACAAUUGAUCAUAUCUACAACUCUCAUCCUGUCCAUUCUGUACAAUUAUUUUCUGUUCCCAUCAUUCACUUCAUCCUGUUCCAAGUAUUUUCCAACUUGUCCACCGAAUUCCUGAAUCUUCUCCUGUUUUGAAUCUCCUCCCACCCUUCCCAACUAGGCCUCCUACUGCUGUUUCAUCAAUUGUUUCAUCAGGUGUCCACCGCUGCCCAUCAGAUCACAUUGCAGGGAUUGCCUCUCAAGUUGUGGAUGACACCCAGGCAUCUUGCUGGUAAUCAUAGAAUCAUAGAAUAAUAGAGUUGGAAGAGACCUUGUGGGCCAUCCAGUCCAACCCCCUGCCAAGAAGCAGGAAAUCACAUACAAAGCACCCCCAACAAAUGGCCAUCCAGCCUCUGCUUAAAAGCUUCCAAAAGAGGAGCCUCCACCACAGUCUGGGGGAGAGAGUUUCACUGCCGAACAGCAAUCACAGUGAGGAAAUUCUUCCUGAUGUUCAGUCCUCAGCUCCUCUUGCACUCCUGUUUAAUUGAACUUAUCAUGGCAGGCCACAUCAUUAUGCUUGCAGACAUCUGUGGCAUCAUCCCAUCAGACUUCAAUUUGUGACCACAAUGGCAGAACAAUGAGGAUUGCCUACUAUAAAAACAAUGAUUUAAAAAAUAUUUUCCCCUCCAUGUUGAGAGAUCAUCAUCAGAAGAUUGGAGCUCUUUCCUGACCUCUACAAAGGGACAAUUCAACAGAAGUCUUCAGUGAAAUAGACUGUGUCCCAGAUGUAACAAGGCAUCACAUUUCUUAGCAGAUGGCUCUGCGUGCAGCAUGUCAUAAAAUUUCCUCUAUGAGGCCCUCUCUGAUGUAUUCUCACUAGAGAUCAGGUCAGUCUGGAUCAGGCAUACCUGUCAAUCAGCUGAGCUGCUUAGAAUCAAGGAGUACAGCUAUGAUGGGCAAAGAUCAAUGGUUGUCCUUCAAAACAGUGUUGGACUUAACCUCACCUUGUAAAAACAAGGGGGAAAUGAAAAAAGAACUUUGAAUAGUUUAUUUGACUUUACCUAUGAUUAACAUUUGAAGAAUACAAUAGAUCAAGGCCAAUACAUUCAGUUAUAAAACUGCAAAUGUUAAACAAAAAAGGAAAAGUUUAGAACAGAUGUGUCCCACUUAGGAGCCUCAAACAUUGUUGGACUGUGAACGUGAUCAGUCCUAGACAAAUUGACCAGUCAGAAGGAACAAAAAGAUUCUUGAGACUCACAGGUGCCAACCCUAAAAUACAAACAGCCACAUCUUCAAAGGAGCAGCAUCUAUAACUGAAAGGUCACAGAGAAUUUUUCCUAGAGGAACAUGCUGAGAAGGCACCAGUUGAGUACUAAGUCCUCAUCCUAUUUCCUCAAAAAUCCUAUUCCCACAAAGGCCAUUCCUUCAAUUAAUUUAUUUGACAUAAUCUCCACCUCCCAGACAAGCUUGUAGAUUUAAACAAAAUUGCGCUUUUAUGUGCAAAUAUGUUUUUUAAUACUUUACAUUUUACGUAUGUUGUUUUAUGAACUAAUACGAAAUACAUUUAGAGAAUACUCCCUCCUGAAAGGCAUUUUUAAAAGAUUUAUAAAAUCAAGUAAGUAUAAAUAUCCACUGAAUUUUACACAUCUUCCAGUACCCAACAGGAUUCUUGGUAGACAUAGACAUACCAAAAUAUGCAUGUUUGAAAAUGCACAUUUAAACACAUUAUUUAAGAGAAAAUUGGGUGUAUGAAAACUCAUGCCAUGAUAAAUGUGUUAGGGUUGAAGGUGACAUAAAACUCUUUUCUUACUUUUUCAGCCACAGGCUAACACGGCUAUACUCCUUUAAAAACUUACAUUUUAAAUGAAUGUUUUAAUUGGAUUCAAAAUGCAUUAAAAUGCAUAGAAAUUCAAAAAAGAAAGGAAAUGACAUCAAAAAAGCAUUGAUAUGUGCCGUGGAAAUGAUAUAAAUUUCCCUAUCCAUAAUUUGAGUACAGUUUCUUUCAGGAGGAUGGAUUUAGCUUUAGGGCCUCUGUUUAAAAAUAUUUGCAGCUCAUAAUUGACUUAUAAUAACACAAUAGUACAAGUGCUGUCCAGAUUCAUGUGUUUAUGGGCCUCCCAGAUCUUCCACUUUUUUAUCAGAUGACCAGAUAACCCUCUUCCAAUUUCUCGGCCUUUGUGAAAUCACAAAAUUCUUGUGACUUAGCAAUCUCCUGUUUUCAUGCUUUCUUCCUUCCCGUGGACUCCUGAAUACAGUGCUUUGGGAAAUCAUAUUUUCUUUUG